GGUUAAGAUAUGGUCCCAUAGUGAUCACCCUCCUUUGUUUUGUUUCUCCGUUCUAUAGAAGAUUUUAUUCCAGUUAUGAGCUGAAGGAAGAAGGCAGAAUUAAGUGUGGGAGAACGGCCUUCUGCAUCCCCUGAAGGGAAAUGCCAUGUGCAGGACCUUCUGGCCCAGGCCCUGGAGGCUGUGGGCUGACACUUCACCAUGUGUGCUCUCUAGAAAGCAAGGGACGAUGGCAUCUACGAACCCACAAGAAUACAAGCACACGGUAUGUACUCUGCAUGCCCAGGGCUGCGUUCUGGCAAAAUGAGUCACUCUUGGGUGAACCCAGUCCAGUCCUCUAACCUGUGGCGACAAGACAUAAGAAACAGCAGGACAGAACCCUGAGAGAGCGAGACCCUACAAGAACAGAGACGGUCUUUAAAUCUGAUUCAUAUUAUGAACCUCAGAGUUGUGCAAUGUGGUGUGAUGUCAUCUCCCAUUUGCUAAGGUUUGAAAGCACCUGGGCCCUCUUCUGUGUGGGCUUGUUCUACCUCCAUCACGUGGACACAACUGCCAAUUUGGUAUGGAUUUUUAAACUGCCUCUUGGAAAAGGCCGAACUAAAAUAUGAAC